rnacentral:rRNA from 1 species
GACGAACGCUGGCGGCGUGCUUAACACAUGCAAGUCGAACGAGUGGCGAACGGGUGAGUAACGCAUCGGAACGUACCGAGUAAUGGGGGAUAACUGUCCGAAAGGACAGCUAAUACCGCAUAUUCUUCGAGCGGCCGAUGGCUGAUUAGCUGGUUGGCGGGGGAAAGGCCCACCAAGGCGACGAUCAGUAGCGGGGCUGAGAGGAUGAUCAGUCAGACGGGAACUGAGACACGGUCCAGACUCCUACGGGAGGCAGCAGUGGGGAAUAUUGGACAAUGGGCGAAAGCCUGAUCCAGCCAUGCCGCGUGUGUGAAGAAGGUCUUCGGAUGGUAAAGCACUUUAAGUUGGGAGGCGUUACCAACAGAAUAAGCACCGGCUAACUUCGUGCCAGCAGCCGCGGUAAUAC